GAGCAAAUAAAGUAGAUAUUACAAAUUUCGUUAUUGUUCAUGGAAAACACUCUUUCUAUCAACAUUUACAUUUUGAAGUGAAGCCCUGAAGGAGAAACUGUUUGCGAUCAUCUGGUGAUCACGCAAUGGAAUGGAAUGAAACAAAAAUUGUCACCGAAGAACUCCACAAAAAACCCAGACAACUCAGGAAAUGGAUCGUAGGUAGCUGAAGACGGAAAAAUGACCAAAAAACGAUUAUUGUGACACCCUGUAUGUAUAUGAAUCUAUAUGAAUUAUAUUUUUCAUUCUGUGAAAGAA